rnacentral:lncRNA from 1 species
AUUACAGUUUUGGAGUCCACCAUCUUAUAGUCCAAGAAUCGGCCGACGAUAAAUUUCUUAGCCCCGGCAUCCUCAAUCUUAUAUUUCCGGUCCAAAGACUCCCACAACUGCUUAGCAGUUUUCAUGGUGCUAUACACGUUGUAUAGCGAAUCUGCCAAACUGUUCAUGACGUAAUUCCGGCAUAAGAAGUCCGAGUGGUUC